UGCCGCUUGGCGGCGGACGCUAUCGCCGCUGCGGGCGGCGGUUGAAUUGGCUUUGCGUCAGGCCGCGACCGCUUCUUCUACGGCGGCGGUGC
rnacentral:tRNA from 1 species